rnacentral:rRNA from 1 species
CCGGCUUACCAACCCGAUGCAAACUGCGAAUACCGGAGAAUGUUAUCACGGGAGACACACGGCGGGUGCUAACGUCCGUCGUGAAGAGGGAAACAACCCAGACCGCCAGCUAAGGUCCCAAAGUCAUGGUUAAGUGGGAAACGAUGUGGGAAGGCCCAGACAGCCAGGAUGUUGGCUUAGAAGCAGCCAUCAUUUAAAGAAAGCGUAAUAGCUCACUGGUCGAGUCGGCCUGCGCGGAAGAUGUAACGGGGCUAAACCAUGCACCGAAGCUGCGGCAGCGACACUGUGUGUUGUUGGGUAGGGGAGCGUUCUGUAAGCCUGUGAAGGUGUGUCGUGAGGCAUGCUGGAGGUAUCAGAAGUGCGAAUGCUGACAUAAGUAACGAUAAAGCGGGUGAAAAGCCCGCUCGCCGGAAGACCAAGGGUUCCUGUCCAACGUUAAUCGGGGCAGGGUGAGUCGACCCCUAAGGCGAGGCCGAAAGGCGUAGUCGAUGGGAAACGGGUUAAUAUUCCCGUACUUGGUGUUACUGCGAAGGGGGGACGGAGAAGGCUAUGUUGGCCGGGCGACGGUUGUCCCGGUUUAAGCGUGUAGGUGUGUGUUCCAGGUAAAUCCGGUUCACUUUAACACUGAGGCGUGACGACGAGGCACUACGGUGCUGAAGCAACAAAUGCCCUGCUUCCAGGAAAAGCCUCUAAGCAUCAGGUAACAUCAAAUCGUACCCCAAACCGACACAGGUGGUCAGGUAGAGAAUACCAAGGCGCUUGAGAGAACUCGGGUGAAGGAACUAGGCAAAAUGGUGCCGUAACUUCGGGAGAAGGCACGCUGACACGUAGGUGAAGUGAUUUACUCAUGGAGCUGAAGUCAGUCGAAGAUACCAGCUGGCUGCAACUGUUUAUUAAAAACACAGCACUGUGCAAACACGAAAGUGGACGUAUACGGUGUGACGCCUGCCCGGUGCCGGAAGGUUAAUUGAUGGGGUCAGCGCAAGCGAAGCUCCUGAUCGAAGCCCCGGUAAACGGCGGCCGUAACUAUAACGGUCCUAAGGUAGCGAAAUUCCUUGUCGGGUAAGUUCCGACCUGCACGAAUGGCGUAAUGAUGGCCAGGCUGUCUCCACCCGAGACUCAGUGAAAUUGAACUCGCUGUGAAGAUGCAGUGUACCCGCGGCAAGACGGAAAGACCCCGUGAACCUUUACUAUAGCUUGACACUGAACAUUGAGCCUUGAUGUGUAGGAUAGGUGGGAGGCUUUGAAGUGUGGACGCCAGUCUGCAUGGAGCCGACCUUGAAAUACCACCCUUUAAUGUUUGAUGUUCUAACGUGGACCCGUUACCCGGGUUGCGGACAGUGUCUGGUGGGUAGUUUGACUGGGGCGGUCUCCUCCUAAAGAGUAACGGAGGAGCACGAAGGUUGGCUA